GAUGAAGAACGCAGUGAAAUGCGAUAAGUAGUGUGAAUUGCAGAAUUCAGUGAAUCAUCGAAUCAUUGAACGCACAUUGCGCCCCUUGGUAUUCCAUGGGGCAUGCCUGUUCGAGCGUCAUUUGUACCUUCAAGCCUUGCUUGGUGUUGGGUGUUUGUCUCGCCUCUGCGCGCAGACUCGCCUCAAAACAAUUGGCAGCCGGCGUAUUGAUUUCGGAGCGCAGUACAUCUCGCGCUUUGCACUCACAACGGCGGCGUCCAAAAGUACAUUUUUACACUCUUGACCUCGGAUCAGGUAGGGAUACCCGCUGAACUUAAGCAUAUCAAUAAGCGGAGGA
rnacentral:misc_RNA from 1 species